AGUUCAUGGCUGCCGCUACCUCCACGAGUUGCGCAGGCUUUUUCAAUUUCCGUUCAAAUUCCGACGAGGGCAGGGUCCGGCCUUCAUCGACCCAUGGCUCACCUGGGUGUGGAAAGCUUGACGGGGUGGCUAUGUGGUUCAUCAAUGGUGUGGCAAGUGCAUUUUUUGCAUCCUUAGAGAGAUGUUCUUGCAUCCGUAUCGCCACCGAAGACGACGGCGAUGAGGCUAACGACGCACCCUUGAUUAUGAACGAUGGAAACUUGAGGCAUGACGGUGGCACCACCAGCAGCAGGAGAAGGACAGGGAAAGGCAAGAAACAGAGCACUGGAGCAUUUGAUGAGUACUAGCUAAUUUGGUUGGCCAAGCCAAAGUUGUUUUGGUAAGUUAAUUAUGGGGUUUUGGGAUGGUGUGAGAUUUGGUCUUUAAUCUUUUGGAAGAGGUUGCAAGUGGUAAUUAAACAAAAAGGGAGUUACAUGUUUGAUGGGUUUGAAUCUCUUAUGCAUAUGAUCAAAUGAAUUGAAUCAAUUUAAUAAAUAUUUUCAUAAAUUACUCAAAACCCCAUAAUUAACUUACCA
rnacentral:misc_RNA from 1 species